rnacentral:other from 1 species
UGCGGUCUGCGCCUCUCGACAGGAAAAAUUUUCCUUGGGGCCAUACUCGAUCUUAUGGGAGCUGUCCCUGUUUUGGCCUGUGGGCUGGAGCACAUGGCGCCCACCUACUUUUGUAGGCGCCCAGGAUCGAACUUCCAUCGGUCGUCGUGGAUCGCAC